rnacentral:rRNA from 1 species
CAAGUCGACGCCCCGCAGGGGAGUGGCGGACGGGUGAGUAACGCGUGGGAAUUUUCCUCAAGGUACGGAACAACUCAGGGAAACUUGGGCUAAUACCGUAUGAUGCAGCGAUGCCAAAGAUUUAUCGCCUUGGGAUAAGCCCGCGUCAGAUUAGGUAGUUGGUGGGGUAACGGCCUACCAAGCCUGCGAUCUGUAGCUGGUCUGAGAGGACGAUCAGCCACAUUGGGACUGAGACACGGCCCAAACUCCUACGGGAGGCAGCAGUGGGGAAUCUUGCGCAAUGGGCGAAAGCCUGACGCAGCUAUGCCGCGUGAAUGAUGAAGGUCUUAGGAUUGUAAAGUUCUUUAGCCUGUGACGAUGAUGACGGUAACAGGAGAAUAAGCCCCGGCUAACUUCGUGCCAGCAGCCGCGGUAAUACGAAGGGGGCUAGCGUUGUUCGGAAUUACUGGGCGUAAAGCGCGCGUAGGCGGUUUUACAAGCCAGAGGUGAAAUGCCUGAGCUUAACUUGGGAAUUGCCUUUGGAACUGUAUGACUUCGAGGACGAGAGAGGUGAGUGGAAUUCCCAGUGUAGAGGUGAAAUUCGUAGAUAUUGGGAAGAACACCGGUGGCGAAGGCGGCUCACUGGCUCGUUUCUGACGCUGCAGCGCGAAAGCGUGGGGAUCAAACAGGAUUAGAUACCCUGGUAGUCCACGCUGUAAACGAUGAGUGCUAGGCGUCGGCACGCUUGCGUGUCGGUGCCGCAGCUAACGCGUGAAGCACUCCGCCUGGGGAGUACGGUCGCAAGAUUAAAACUCAAAGGAAUUGACGG